rnacentral:rRNA from 1 species
UACGUAGGGUGCAAGCGUUUGUCCGGAAUUAUUGGGCGUAAAGAGCUCGUAGGCGGUCUGUUGCGUCGGCUGUGAAAACCCGGGGCUCAACCCCGGGCCUGCAGCCGAUACGGGCAGACUAGAGUUCGGCAGGGGAGACUGGAAUUCCUGGUGUAGCGGUGGAAAUGCGCAGAUAUCAGGAGGAACACCGGUGGCGAAGGCGGUUCUCUGGGCAAUAACUGACGCUGAGGAGCGAAAGCGUGGGGAGCGAACAGG